rnacentral:rRNA from 1 species
UACGUAGGGGGCAAGCGUUGUCCGGAUUUAUUGGGCGUAAAGAGCGUGUAGGCGGCCAGACAGGUCAGCUGUGAAAACUCGAGGCUCAACCUCGAGACGUCGGUUGAAACCGUCUGGCUAGAGUCCGGAAGAGGAGAGUGGAAUUCCCGGUGUAGCGGUGAAAUGCGCAGAUAUCGGGAAGAACACCCGUGGCGAAGGCGGCUCUCUGGGACGGUACUGGACGCUGAGACGCGAAAAGCGUGGGGGAGCGAACAGG